rnacentral:rRNA from 1 species
AUGUGUGCUUUCAAUGAUUAUGUGAAGCAGUGUGAGCUUAUGAACAUGGGAUUCAGUGUUCCUGUGUAUACUUGGAGUAACAAAUGUUUUUCUUCAGUUCCUAUCUUAGAAAGGCUUGAUAGAUGUUUAGCUAAUGCUGAAUGGUGCGAUUUUUUUCCGAAUACUAAUGUGUUCAAUCUUCCAAUGAUUCUAAGUGAUCAUGCACCUAUUUUGGUCUCCAUUGAAUCGAAAUGUUUCAAACAGAAGCUAAAUUUUAAAUUUGAGAAUUGGUGUUGGGAGGUUGCUAAACAGGUCUGGCAUUCUUCAAAUAAUAAACCUUUCUGUUCCAGGACUACUAACCAUGCACGAACUCUUAAAAAGUGGUGUAAGAAAAAGAAGCCCUUCCAAAAACAAUUAGAUACUUUGUAG